rnacentral:tRNA from 1 species
ACUAUGGUGGCCGAGUCAGUUAAGGCAUUGGGUUAGUCUGCCAAAGGUCUCUGGUUUGAUUCCCGUAGUC